AGUGUCAUGUCGCUAGAUCGUCCCACAGUCGCGAGAAAAUAUUACAUGUAGUUCGGAAAUAAAUACAAGUUGCUUUAGUACUAACGUCUAUCUUUUGACGAAUUUUUAUGCAAAUAAAAUAUGUAUGUUACAAUUCUAAAUAUGUGAAUCAAAAAUUCAUUUUUCAUGACGUAUUAAUUAUUUGGUUGGUGUUAUUCAAAACAAUCACGUAUCUUAACCCUGACUUUAAUGACUUUAUGAAAAGGAACAUUUAUUUAUUAAUAUCAUGUCGUUGCGUCAACUUCUGCGUGUAUUAUUGAAAAGAGCUAGUCCUGUUAUGUAUGCUACUAGCUUUACAUUUGUAAACCAACCAGAAACUAAUAAACCCACAGAAAAUGAUAAAUUACAAUUUGAACCUGUUGAUAUAAAAAAAUUAACUCCUGAAUAUAUGAUACAACAAUCAACUAUAGAUGCUGUUAACAGUGCAACUCAAUCAUUAACUGUUACAUAUACAGCAAUAAUGAAAACAAGUAAAGAAUAUAAGGAAUUGUUACAUGAAUUAAUUACCCUUUCAAGGGAAACCUUAGAGUUUAAUGUUAGUGAUUCACAUUGGGACAUGAUAGUUGAACUGAGGUCACAAGUACAAAGUAAAAAAGAAAUCUUAACUAAGUUAACAGGAUAUAUUGAAUAUGUUCAUAAAAUGGCAGUAGCUGCUUCAGAAUUAAGUUACUUGUCAGGAUUGGAUAAUUUGUCUUUCACUCUUACUCAGAGAAUAGAUGAUGCAUUGAGGAUUAUAAAGGAAGAAGUUAAUCAUAUUAUGAUACUUGAACAAGAAUACUGUGGUGUACAAAAAGAAUGUAUAAAAAAUUUCAGUAAAAUAAAUAAUGAAUCCACAGAUAAAGAGAAACCAAAUGAAUUCAUCUAGUCUGAUAAAAUAUUUUUUGUUUACAGUUUAUAGUUUAUGUUUAAGUUUUUGUACAAAAUACAGAAAUAAUAAAAUUCUAUAUAAUCCGAAAAAAUAGAGGACAAUAAAUUUUGUAUAGCUAGUUUUAAACAAAACAAUUGCUCAUCAAGCAUCAAGAUGUAUUGUUACAAUAUGUCUACCAGGUAUCAUUACUAAACCAAGAGUUCUUGCUUCUGUGUGAUCCUCUGAUAAAAAUUCUGAACAUGAUCCUAAAAUCACAUUGGCAUCACGGUCAGUACAUAAGAAUGCACCUAUUAAAAUACGCCCAUCUGUCAUUUUUAUUCUUAAGUUUCGAUUUAGCCAUCCACGUAAUUUUUGCUUUGCUGGAGAUUCCUCUGUAUUAACAGCCUAUUAUAAGUGCAUAAAUAAACUCAUACUAACUUAAUUCACAGCAUAUAUAUGUUACUAUUAAUAUGAUAAUUAUAUACAACAGUAGAAACAUUGUUAAACAAUGAGAUAUUACUCUCAGACAUGGAAAGUUAAAUACUUUUUAAAUAAACACAAAUGUAACCUCUUAAACAAGACACGCUUGUAACCUAUACUGCAAAGCUAUUUAUGAUAAUAAUGAUUUUAUUCUAAAAUAUAAUAAAUAUAAUAUAUAAAAUAUGCAA